rnacentral:tRNA from 1 species
GCCUGGGUGGCUCAGUCGGUUGAGCGUCCGACUUUGGCUCAGGUCAUGAUGUUGCAGUCUGUGAGUUCGAACCCCACGUUGGGCU